GAAAUUACGCCUUCCAUGAAGCUGGAAUUGCUAGUAAUGGCAGGUCAGCAUACUGCCGUGAAUACGUUCCCGGGCCUUGUACACACCGCCCGUCACACCAUGAGAGUUGGGAAUACCCGAAGCCUGUGAGCUAACUUAUAGAGGCAGCAGUCGAAGGUAGAAUCAAUGAUUGGGGUGAAGUCGUAACAAGGUAGC
rnacentral:rRNA from 1 species